UCCCAUUCGUCUUCCAUGCGACGAUGACACCAGACAUGCUGCAUUCGCCAGCUCUUUGAGGAUUUCAAAAACAAAAGAGCUUACAAAUCUCCCAAAGCAUCAGUUCGUCAGGGGGAAACAAGGCAGGUGUGUGUGUAUGUGCGUGUGCGUGUGUAGGCCUAUUAGCCGGGAGCAGAUAUUCACAGCUGCCUCAUCACAAGACUAGAGGAAGCACUCCAGUCAAAGUGAGACUAUUCUCAGAGACUUUAAACCCACACAUGAGAGGAGUUUGAGUUGCUAGAGGAAAGAUAUAUGACUGGAAUAUUAAUUCCACAUCAGAGACAGAGGAUUUUAUGUCACUCUGUACGUCUUUAGAGAAAAAAAACAAACACAAGAUGUGCACUAGCACAGGUUUUCAGACAUACUCUGAUAUAUUAGACUAUGUGAAUUUAUUAGCACAUUUACAUGUGAAUGAACAUUGCAUCACAGACUGGUCAAUCAGUUAGUAUAUUAGAUGGACAUUACAGUAUACCCUGUAUGUAUGUUUCAGUGCAGGUUACACUGGGCUUGUAAAGCUACCAAAGACUGCCCUCUGGUGACUUGAUGCAUCAUCUAACAAUGGUUUUAGAGGGGAAACAUUUGCAUUCCUGAAAACAGAUUUAAAAUAGGGUAACCAUUCGCGAUAUUUUUACGGGACGCGUCCUUGCCAGGAUUUCCAUAUUGCCUAAAAUAUCCACGUUUUGGUUGUUUGCACUGUGCAGAUCGAUCGUUGUAUGACAUCCACGAGAUCUAUACAGAGCAGAGCAGACGGCCUUAUCGCUUCCAGUCGAACGAAAGAACUAACACGUGCGCGUAUUUGCAUCGCUUUGAUCGUUCUCUGUAGAUCUCACCUUCUCACGCGCCACGAUUGGUCGAUUAUAUACAAAACCUGCAUAUUAUCUUACUGACCCCAAACAUAUUAACAGUAGUGUAUAUUGUUGGAAAAUUGUAUUUGUAUGUUUUAAUACUGUCCCACUCAGUGUUGGGGAAAUUUACAUUUACAAGUAACUAGUUACUUGAAAAAGUAAUCUGAUUACAUAACUCACAUUACUUGUAAUCUGUUACCUUCA
ensembl:lncRNA